CACAUCGGUGCUGACGUAAGCACCGAUGUAGAAAUUACAUGUUUCCACAUCGUUGCUGACAUAAGCACCGAUGUA
rnacentral:pre_miRNA from 1 species